rnacentral:rRNA from 1 species
AACGAACGCUGGCGGCAUGCCUAACACAUGCAAGUCGAACGAGACCUUCGGGUCUAGUGGCGCACGGGUGCGUAACGCAUGGGAACCUGCCCUUAGGUUCGGAAUAACUCCCCGAAAGGGGUGCUAAUACCGGAUAAUGUCUUCGGGCCAAAGAUUUAUCGCCUUUGGAUGGGCCCGCGUUGGAUUAGCUAGUUGGUAGGGUAAAAGCCUACCAAGGCGACGAUCCAUAGCUGGUCUGAGAGGAUGAUCAGCCACACUGGGACUGAGACACGGCCCAGACUCCUACGGGAGGCAGCAGUGGGGAAUAUUGGACAAUGGGCGAAAGCCUGAUCCAGCAAUGCCGCGUGAGUGAUGAAGGCCUUAGGGUUGUAAAGCUCUUUUACCCGGGAUGAUAAUGACAGUACCGGGAGAAUAAGCUCCGGCUAACUCCGUG